rnacentral:lncRNA from 1 species
GGUUAAGAAUGCAUAGAGACAGAAUGGUGUCCAUGAGCAGCAAUUAUGUCAUAGGAACUCAAGUUGUGUAACACUUCACACUUGAACAAAAUACUUCGCAAGGAGAACACGGUGACCUUAUUUGACAGCUGCUGGAUUCUGAUGGAAUUUGCGGAUAACUAC